rnacentral:lncRNA from 10 species
GACAUUUAAAAAAAAAUUAGAGCUCAGUGACCUGUGACUCACUUUGCCACUUUGUCAUUUUCUUGACUUCUGUCCCAACGCCAGCCCUGUAAUAUGGAGAUAAAGAGUGGGGAGGACAGAACUCUGAAACCUAAAAGGCAAGAUUUUUGCUAAACCGGAGAACGUAAAAAUACAUUCCUAGAGGCAAUCUAACCAGCCAGAUAACCAGAAGUUUACUCUUCAAAGCCAAGAAUCAGUACCCCCACCUCACCUUCCAUUCUCUCUUAGGCUUUGUCUAUGUCUCUAAGGGGAGUUUUUCAGUUGACUGAUGAGGUCCUGACUGGUAGGGAAAGCCUGCAGGGAAAUCCUGUGGCAAAGCACACUCUUGAUCACCUACUUAACAAGAAGGUCUAGCAGGACAUUCUUGAUCCAGGUCAGCUUCUUCCCUGAAAAUAAUACAUAUUUUUAAUUUCUGUUUGAAAAAACUCCACUGUGAAAUUACUCUGCUUAUAUUAGAAGGUAUGAAGACAGUAGUUAUGUACUGUUCGUUUGCAUACGGUCAUUUUGAGAUAGAAAAAUUAAAUUUUUUUAGGAAAAGAAUUUCAAGCAACUUUCUACGAAAAUACAGCUUGUGGUUAAAUUUCCUAAUGAAAGAGGAAUUAUUCACUGAAAAAUUUGUCUAAUCUGUGCCACCUCAAAAUAAGAAUUGUGCCUCUUCAAUGAAUGUUGUAUAUGAGAAUGUUACAUUUGUAACAGCACAGGAAACUCAAUAAAUUAUAAAUGAAUUACAUAAA